rnacentral:rRNA from 1 species
AGUGAACGCUGGCGGUAGGCCUAACACAUGCAAGUCGAACGGCAGCACAGUAAGAGCUUGCUCUUACGGGUGGCGAGUGGCGGACGGGUGAGGAAUACAUCGGAAUCUACUUUUUCGUGGGGGAUAACGUAGGGAAACUUACGCUAAUACCGCAUACGACCUACGGGUGAAAGCAGGGGAUCUUCGGACCUUGCGCGAUUGAAUGAGCCGAUGUCGGAUUAGCUAGUUGGCGGGGUAAAGGCCCACCAAGGCGACGAUCCGUAGCUGGUCUGAGAGGAUGAUCAGCCACACUGGAACUGAGACCCGGUCCAGACUCCUACGGGAGGCAGCAGUGGGGAAAAUUGGACAAUGGGCGCAAGCCUGAUCCAGCCAUACCGCGUGGGUGAAGAAGGCCUUCGGGUUGGAAAGCCCUUUUGUUGGGAAAGAAAAGCAGCAGGUUAAAACCCCGCUGUUCUGACGGUACCCAAAGAAUAAGCACCGGCUAGCUUCGUGC